GGUCAAGCGACUAAGUGCACACGGUGGAUGCCUUGGCAGUUAGAGGCGAUGAAAGACGUAGGAGCCUGCGAUAAGGUGAGGGGAGCCGGCAAACAUGCUUUGAUCCUCACAUUUCUGAAUGGGGAAACCCACCUAUUUAUAGGUAUCGUGCACUGAAUACAUAGGUGUACGAGGCGAACGAGGGGAACUGAAACAUCUAAGUACCCUUAGGAAAAGAAAUCAACCGAGAUUCCCUUAGUAGCGGCGAGCGAAAGGGGACCAGCCGAUUGAGAAUGUUGUUAGUAGAAGGCUCUGGAAAGUGCCGCGAUAGAGGGUGAUAGUCCCGUAUACGAAAACGCAUUUUUGACACAUUAAGUAGGGCGGAACACGUGUUAUUCUGUCUGAAGAUGGGGGGACCAUCCUCCAAGGCUAAAUACUCCUAACUGACCGAUAGUGAACCAGUACCGUGAGGGAAAGGCGAAAAGAACCCCUGUGAGGGGAGUGAAAUAGAUCCUGAAACCGUGUGCGUACAAGCAGUAGGAGCAGACUUGUUCUGUGACUGCGUACCUUUUGUAUAAUGGGUCAGCGACUUAUUGUUAGUGGCAAGGUUAACCGACUAGGGGAGCCGUAGAGAAAUCGAGUCUUAAUAGGGCGCGAGUCGCUAGCAAUAGACCCGAAACCGGGCGAUCUACCCAUGGCCAGUGUGAAGGUUAGGUAACACUGACUGGAGGCGCGAACUCACGUAUGUUGAAAAAUGCGGAGAUGAGCUGUGGGUCGGAGUGAAAGGCUAAUCAAGCCCGGAGAUAGCUGGUUCUCCCCGAAAACUAUUUAGGUAGUGCGUCAUGUCUUACCCUCGGGGGUAGAGCACUGUUUCGGCUAGGGGGUCAUCCCGACUUACCAACCCGAUGCAAACUCCGAAUACCGAGGAGUACAAUCAUGGCAGACACACAGCGGGUGCUAACGUCCGUUGUGAAGAGGGAAACAACCCAGACCGCCAGCUAAGGUCCCAAAUGUUAAUUAAGUGGGAAACGAUGUGGGAAGGCUUAGACAGCUAGGAGGUUGGCUUAGAAGCAGCCACCCUUUAAAGAAAGCGUAAUAGCUCACUAGUCGAGUCGGCCUGCGCGGAAGAUGUAACGGGGCUAAAUUAGCAACCGAAGCUGCGGAUGCACAUUGUGCAUGGUAGGGGAGCGUUCUGUAAGCCGUUGAAGGUGACUUGAGAAGGUUGCUGGAGGUAUCAGAAGUGCGAAUGCUGACAUGAGUAACGAUAAGGGGAGUGAAAAACUCCCCCGCCGGAAGAUCAAGGUUUCCUGUCCAACGUUAAUCGGGACAGGGUUAGUCGGCCCCUAAGGCGAGGCAGAAAUGCGUAGUCGAUGGGAAACAGGUUAAUAUUCCUGUACUUUUUAUUACUGCGAUGGAGGGACGGAGUAGGCUAGGCCAGUGCGGCGUUGGUAGUCCGUAUGAAAGCUUGUAGGCAAGCGACUUAGGUAAAUCCGGGUUGCUCUCUUUAAUGAGAAUGCUGAGAGGUGAUGACCAGUUCUUUAUUGAACUAGGUGGUUGGUGCCAUGCUUCCAAGAAAAGCUUCUAAGCUUCAGGUAAUAAAGAACCGUACUGUAA
rfam:Gamma proteobacterium IMCC1989 ctg_24, whole genome shotgun sequence.